ACGCUCGACACCUACGGGAGGCAGCAGUGGGGAAUAUUGCACAAUGGGGAAACCCUGAUGCAGCGACGCCGCGUGGAGGAAGAAGGUCUUCGGAUUGUAAACUCCUGUUGUUGGGGAAAAAGAGGAUGGUACCCAACAAGGAAGUGACGGCUAACUACGUGCAAGCAGCCGCGGUAAUCUGAGCGGGCUGGCAAGGC
rnacentral:rRNA from 1 species